rnacentral:lncRNA from 1 species
AAUACCUGAAAACAAGGGAAAAUCAGCCAGGGUGGUGAUGAGAUCUGCUUUCUCUCUUCUUACAUCAGUGAGCUGGGCGGUAUCGUGCAUAGUGGUGAUGAUGACAGGUUGAUUAGUAGGGCCAGACCAAGUGUGAAAUCGUUCACACCACUGCUCUGUUUCCAGGAGCCACGGUGAGAAGACAACCUCAAUAAAGAAAACAAAUGAGCUUUACGCUUUGUUUCG